UUCUUUCCCAUCAAAAGUAACCAAUUCUAUCUCAGGCAAAAUCUGUAGUAUUCCCUCUGUAAAAGAAAAAUUUCCAGAGUUAUUAGAAUUGCCUACAUUCUGCAGAUUCUGGAUCCCUGUAGGAUUAGGUAGUAAACCCUUGCCAUUUCCCAAUAUUGGCUGAGAUCCAACAUUUUUAGAUCUACUUCCACCUUCACCAGAACUACUAGCUCCCUUACUCUUUCCUGCACUCAUAUAGGCUUGCAAUUCUUCCAUGAUAACAUUUUGACCUUCAGUUUUCUUCACCAUGUUUUCCUUAAAUUCCUUCAGAUCUUUAGCAGUUCUCGAAGCCAUCUCUUGCAGAUUUCGAGAAACAUCUUGUAAGUUUCUCACUUGUUCUUCCAACUCAGCACUCUUUACCAUCUCUGGACUCACUACAGCUGAUCUAGUGAUAGUUCCGACCCCCAAGGACCAAUUACCCACUGAUUCUUGG
rnacentral:misc_RNA from 1 species